GUAGGUGAACCUGCGGAAGGAUCAUUAGUGAAUAAACAAGUGCAGGUUGUGCUGGCCUUCUUGGUAUGUGCACGCCUGCCAACGUUUCAUUCUAUCUUCCCACCUGUGCACUCUGUGUAGAUUCUGUAUGCUAUUGUCAGGCCUUCAUUGAGCUUGGUUGAGAGGAGUUGCUUGUUUUCACAGACAAGCUCUUCUUGGGCAUGCAGAUCUAUGUUUUAUAUCAACACCAUAUGAAUGUUAUAGAAUGUGCUUUGGGCUUUUUGGCCUUUAAAUUAUAUACAACUUUCAACAACGGAUCUCUUGGCUCUC
rnacentral:misc_RNA from 1 species